AUCAUGUACAAAUAAUAUGAUGUAACAAUUGAGGAAAAAGCCUAAAUAUAAAAAAAGUUAAAAUAUCUUAAUACUUAUCAACCUUUAUUUACAUAAAUGCGUAUUUCCCCCUUUGUUUACCCUAAAAGAAACUUUAAUACGAGCCAUGGAUUGCGGAAUACCGUCCGCAUAUUCUCAAAAUGUUCACGUAAAUUGAUGACGUCAUGUGUUAAAACAGUUAUUGACCAAUCAAAUCGGUAUAUAUAAUUUAAUCUGCUAUCUCAGGAUGACCCUUUAACCCGAACUCCGUCGUACGGGUUAUUAAGGGUCGCCUGAGCUGUGCAUAUUAAAUGAUAUAUACCGACUUGCUUGGUCAAUAACUAUAGCAUAAUAUCAUUAUUAUUAGCGCAUUUAUAUAUGUUUUGUUUUUAUGAUGUAUAUAUAUAAACUGAUUAUUGUUUUUCGAAUUAGUUGCAUAUUUGUCAUCCAUUAUUAGAUAUCAGUUGUACAGUUUGACUGGUCAUAUGCGAUUCCCAUUGUCAUCCUGAUUGUCCGAUAUUAGAUAAAUAAUUGCAAAAGG
rnacentral:lncRNA from 1 species